AUGGAUUCCAAAUCGCGAUCGUAACACUCAAAGUACCAUAGCAAAUACAAAAAGAAUAAAACCUUUAGAAGGGGCAUAUAUUUCAAGUGGAACGUUAGAUUCUCAAACUUCAUUUGGAUCUCAAGAUAAAAAAUAUCCUGAAGUAACUAAUAUGGAGGAUUUAAAUAGUACAAUCAAUGGACCUAUUCAACCAAGUAUACCUACUCAAUUUAUAUCACGAGAAACCGG